AAGCCCAAAUUUGUAAUCUGGCACUUUUUACAAGUGUCCGAGUUGUAAUUUGUAGAACUGUUAUCCGUCCUGGACCAUGUACAAGUCUGUUGAAAAGCAGCAUCAUUGAAGGUGAAAAUCCUGUAGAUGAUAUGGACUACCAGUACUUUUGUGAUACGGUUUCUAAGAGUCGAGUUGUUUGGGAAUGCAGCUCAAAGUGGGUGGUAAAUUCCAUCUAAGGCUAAAUAUAAGUGAGAGACCGAUAGCAAACAAGUACCGUGAGGGAAAGAUGAAAAGAACUUUGAAAAUAGAGUUAACAGUACGUGAAAUUGCUGAAAGGGAAACGUUURAAGUUAGUUUUGUAUUCGUUGGAUCAGCUUCGCAAGGAGUGUAUUCUGAUGAUAAGCAAGUCAACAUCAGUCUAUGGGUGUCGGAGAAGGGUUUUGAGAAUGUAGCAAUUUAAUUGUGUUAUAGCUUGAGACUUGGAUACGAUGCUUUGGAUUGAGGAACGCGUAGUAAGCUUUGAGCGGAUUCGAAAGGAUCUCCUUACUAUGGAUGUUGGUGAAAUAACUUUAAGCGACCCGUCUU
rnacentral:rRNA from 2 species